GGGCCCGCACAAGCGGUGGAGCAUGUGGUUUAAUUCGAUGCAACGCGAAGAACCUUACCAGGUCUUGACAUCCAAAGAAUCCUGAUGAAAGUCAGGAGUGCCUUAGGGAGCUUUGAGACAGGUGGUGCAUGGUUGUCGUCAGCUCGUGUCGUGAGAUGUUGGGUUAAGUCCCGCAACGAGCGCAACCCUUGCUAUUAGUUGCUAACAUUAAGAUGAGCACUCUAAUGGGACUGCCGGUGACAAGCCGGAGGAAGGUGGGGAUGACGUCAAAUCAUCAUGCCCUUUAUGAUCUGGGCUACACACGUGCUACAAUGGAUGGUACAGAGAGCUGCGAUACAGUGAUGUGGAGCGAAUCUCAAAAAGCCAUUCUCAGUUCGGAUUGCAGGCUGCAACUCGCCUGCAUGAAGUCGGAAUCGCUAGUAAUCGCGAAUCAGCAUGUCGCGGUGAAUGCGUUCCCGGGCCUU
rnacentral:rRNA from 1 species